rnacentral:rRNA from 1 species
UACGAAGGGGGCUAGCGUUGUUCGGAAUUACUGGGCGUAAAGGGCGCGUAGGGCUGGUGUGUCAAGGUCAGGCGUGAAAGCCCCGGGCCUCAACCUGGGAACCGCGCUUGAGACUGGCACGCUCGGAGUUCGGGAGAGGAUGGUGGAAUUCCCAGUGUAGAGGUGAAAUUCGUAGAUAUUGGGAAGAACACCGAUGGCGAAGGCAGCCAUCUGGACCGACACUGACGCUGAGGCGCGAAAGCGUGGGGGAGCAAACAGG